UGCGUAGGCGGUUUGUUAAGUCUGACGUGAAAUCCCCGGGCUCAACCUGGGACGUGCGUUGGAAACUGGCGAUCUAGAGUACGGUAGAGGGUGGUGGAAUUCCCGGUGUAGCAGUGAAAUGCGUAGAGAUCGGGAGGAACACUCGUGGCGAAGGCGACCACCUGGACUGAUACUGACACUGAGGUGCGAAAGCGUGGGGAGCAAACAGGAUUAGAUACCCCUGUA
rnacentral:rRNA from 1 species